rnacentral:lncRNA from 1 species
ACCAGCUCUUCCUCUUAUCAAAGCCUACCUAAGAAAUCAUCUGCAUGGAAGAAAUCUGAGAAGACUUUCUAAGAAAAGCAUUUACCUAACUAGUGUUUACAUAUUAUCACCUCAAAAUACAUACAGCUUGUAUGUUAAUUGGCCAGGACCUGGAUAGUAGAAAAGAACUGGGAAAACCACUCAAGAAAGGAGAAAACACAGAGACAUAGAAAUUGAAUUGCCAGCUUCCAUCUUGUUCCUCAGAUGAUGAAGUGGGCCAAUCCAGGCCUUCUCUUAUUCACUACUUCAUAACACCUCUGCAUAGAGGACUUUGAGCCAAUGCUGCUUUGAGACUCAGAAGAUGUGUGUCCUGGUCGAAGCCCCAGAGAAAAUACGGAGCCCUCUGCCCCUGCAUAUCUUUACAGAAGAAGUUUUCCUGCACAUCACUGGAUAUAGACAGACAUUGAUAAAAAAAGAAGAGAAUCAGAAGGCUCUAGACAACCCAAGCCCUCACUCAAAUUCUGCUGUUUCAAGUAGAAAACAACCAACUUGUAACCUAAGUCUCUCCUUUUUUAAGAGGAAGUGGUAGUGGGAUAAAGAAAAGGAUGGCAUUUCCUACAGCAGCUGAGACUCUUAUUAACUGGUUAAAGAACCAACUCCUCAAUAAAGAAUUAGUCGAAUGAACCA